GACGAACGCUGGCGGCGUGCUUAACACAUGCAAGUCGAACGGAAAGGCCCUGCUUUUGUGGGGUGCUCGAGUGGCGAACGGGUGAGUAACACGUGAGUAACCUGCCCUUGACUUUGGGAUAACUUCAGGAAACUGGGGCUAAUACCGGAUAGGAGCUCCUGCUGCAUGGUGGGGGUUGGAAAGUUUCGUCGGUUGGGGAUGGACUCGCGGCUUAUCAGCUUGUUGGUGGGGUAGUGGCUUACCAAGGCUUUGACGGGUAGCCGGCCUGAGAGGGUGACCGGCCACAUUGGGACUGAGAUACGGCCCAGACUCCUACGGGAGGCAGCAGUGGGGAAUAUUGCUCAAUGGGCGGAAGCCUGAUGCAGCAACGCCGCGUGCGGGAUGACGGCCUUCGGGUUGUAAACCGCUUUCGCCUGUGACGAAGCGUGAGUGACGGUAAUGGGUAAAGAAGCACCGGCUAACUACGUG
rnacentral:rRNA from 1 species